rnacentral:misc_RNA from 1 species
CGCACCUUGCGCCUUUUGGUAUUCCGAAAGGCAUGCCUGUUUGAGUGUCAUGAAAUAUCAAUCCCCACUGGUUUUGUAAUGAGACCUGUGGUGGACUUGGAGAUGGGCGUCCUGCCGGUAACACGGCUCGCCUCAAAUGACUUAGUGGGAUAAGCACCCAUGACUGAGACGUAAUAAGUUUCGUCUGGUCCGGUGUGAUGUCUGCUCACAACACCUCAUAUUUUUUACUCUGACCUCAAAUCAGGUAGGGCUACCCGCUGAACUUAA